rnacentral:rRNA from 1 species
GCACUAUAAAAUUAAAUUAAUUUAUUUUUAUAUAUCAUUAUAAAAAAAUAAUUUAUAAAAAAAAAUUAUUUUAAAAAUUAAUUUUUUAUAUUAAAUUAAAUCAAGAUAUAGAAUAAUUAAUAUUUAAUGAAUUAUAAUUAAUUUAAUUAAAUUUAAAUUUUAUAAAAAAAUUUUUAUUAAAAUUUUAAAGUAAUUUUAUUUUAUUAAAUUUAAUGAAUUAAUUUAUUAUUAUGUACAAAUUGCCCGUCAUUUUUAUAUAUAAAAAAAGUCGUAACAAAGUAAAUAUAUUGGAAAAUGUAUUUAAUA